rnacentral:rRNA from 1 species
AAGUCGUAACAAGGUCUCCGUAGGUGAACCUGCGGAGGGAUCAUUACACAAUAACAAGGCGGGCUGGACACCCCCAGCCGGGCACUGCUUCACGGCGUGCGCGGCUGGGCCGGCCCUGCUGAAUUAUUCACCCGUGUCUUUUGCGUACUUCUUGUUUCCUGGGUGGGCUCGCCCGCCAUCAGGACCAACCACAAACCUUUUGCAAUAGCAAUCAGCGUCAGUAACAACGUAAUUAAUUACAACUUUCAACAACGGAUCUCUUGGUUCUGGCAUCGAUGAAGAACGCAGCGAAAUGCGAUACGUAGUGUGAAUUGCAGAAUUCAGUGAAUCAUCGAAUCUUUGAACGCACAUUGCGCCCUUUGGUAUUCCAAAGGGCAUGCCUGUUCGAGCGUCAUUCGUACCCUCAAGCUUUGCUUGGUGUUGGGCGUCUUUUGUCUCCAGUUCGCUGGAGACUCGCCUUAAAGUCAUUGGCAGCCGGCCUACUGGUUUCGGAGCGCAGCACAAGUCGCGCUCUUUGCCAGCCAAGGUCAGCGUUCAGCAAGCCUUUUUUUUCAACCUUUGACCUCGGAUCAGGUAGGGAUACCCGCUGAACUUA